GGCAGAGGUUUGACUGGCAAGCAGCUCUGGGUGUACAUUUCAUCCAAGAGUCUCAUGGUGGUCGAAGGAGAUCCCCAGAUGCAAAAUCAAAGUUGCUUGGAUUUCCAUUUCUUCCCCAUCUAGGAAAAGGGCAAUGGAAUCAAAGCCUUUAAAAAAUGUAGUAAGAGAAAGACUCUCUAAUUGAUCAGAACCUUCUGGCAACCAGCACUUUGGCCCAUCUACUGAAAAAUACUUUAUCAGUGUCUUUAGUAAAGGCCCCCAAGAUGCACAAUACAUUUUUGGUUGUUGAAAUAGAGUGUCUUCUAAGUCAUCAAGUAAAAGAGAAAUUCUGCUCAGAAGACUUUUGGAUAGUACCCAACAUUUGGUGAGGCUUACUAUAUUACAUGCAUUACCUCGCUAAAUCACCACAUUAGAACACUUACAGGAUGAUGGGAAGCCAUUUCUG
rnacentral:lncRNA from 10 species